AGUCGAGGGGUAUAGGUUUUCGGACCUAGAGACCGGCGCACGGGUGCGUAACGCGUAUGCAAUCUACCUUUUACAGAGGGAUAGCCCAGAGAAAUUUGGAUUAAUACCUCAUAGUAUUACGACUCGGCAUCGAGAUGUAAUUAAAGUCACAACGGUAAAAGAUGAGCAUGCGUCCCAUUAGCUUGUUGGUAAGGUAACGGCUUACCAAGGCAACGAUGGGUAGGGGUCCUGAGAGGGAGAUCCCCCACACUGGUACUGAGACACGGACCAGACUCCUACGGGAGGCAGCAGUGAGGAAUAUUGGUCAAUGGGCGCAAGCCUGAACCAGCCAUGCCGCGUGCAGGAUGAAGCAUCUAUGGUGUGUAAACUGCUUUUGUACGAGAAGAAACACUCCUUCGUGAAGGAGCUUGACGGUAUCGUAAGAAUAAGGACCGGCUAACUCCGUGCCAGCAGCCGCGGUAAUACGGAGGGUCCAAGCGUUAUCCGGAAUCAUUGGGUUUAAAGGGUCCGUAGGCGGUUUUGUAAGUCAGUGGUGAAAGCCCAUCGCUCAACGGUGGAACGGCCAUUGAUACUGCAAGACUUGAAUUAUUGGGAAGCAACUAGAAUAUGUAGUGUAGCGGUGAAAUGCUUAGAGAUUACAUGGAAUACCAAUUGCGAAGGCAGGUUGCUACCAAUAUAUUGACGCUGAUGGACGAAAGCGUGGGGAGCGAACAGGAUUAGAUACCCUGGUAGUCCACGCCGUAAACGAUGGAUACUAGCUGUUCGGAGCAAUCUGAGUGGCUAAGCGAAAGUGAUAAGUAUCCCACCUGGGGAGUACGUUCGCA
rnacentral:rRNA from 1 species